rnacentral:rRNA from 1 species
AGUCGUAACAAGGUUUCCGUAGGUGAACCUGCGGAAGGAUCAUUGUCGAAACCUGCCUAGCAGAAUGACCCGUGAACUUGUUUCAUAUUGACGGGGGCCACGGUUGCAUUUGCCCCAUGGUCCCCCGUUGUCGCUAGGGUGAGGGUGCUAGCUCUUGCUCUGGUGACCGAACAACAAACCCCGGCGCGGACUGCGCCAAGGAAUCUUAACGAGAGAGCUUGCUCCCGUCGCCCCAGCAAUGGUGCGUGUGUCGGGAGUAGUGCCUUCUUUCAUUAUCCAUAACGACUCUCGGCAACGGAUAUCUCGGCUCUCGCAUCGAUGAAGAACGCAGCGAAAUGCGAUACUUGGUGUGAAUUGCAGAAUCCCGUGAACCAUCGAGUCUUUGAACGCAAGUUGCGCCCCAAGCCUUUAGGCCGAGGGCACGUCUGCCUGGGUGUCACGCAUCGUUGCCCCCUCUACCCCAUGCCUCGAACGAGGUGCGGGGACAUGUUGCGGGGCGGAUAUUGGCCUCCCGUGCGAUGUGUAUCUCGUGGUUGGCCCAAAUAUGAGUCCUCGGCAAUGGACGCCGUGACGUUCGGUGGUGGAAAGUAAGAAACCUCGAGCUCGCGUUGCGCGUACAUUGUCGGUUUAAGGCUCUCGACCCUAAAGCGUCGUGAUGAAGGCGCACGCAUCGCGACCCCA